rnacentral:rRNA from 1 species
GACGAACGCUGGCGGCGUGCUUAACACAUGCAAGUCGAACGAUGAAGCUGGAGCUUGCUCCAGUGGAUUAGUGGCGAACGGGUGAGUAACACGUGAGCAAUCUGCCCUUGACUCUGGGAUAACUGCGGGAAACUGUAGCUAAUACCGGAUACGACACCUUGGGGCAUCCCGGGGUGUGGAAAGAAUUUCGGUCAAGGAUGAGCUCGCGGCCUAUCAGCUUGUUGGUGAGGUAAAGGCUCACCAAGGCGACGACGGGUAGCCGGCCUGAGAGGGUGACCGGCCACACUGGAACUGGGACACGGUCCAGACUCCUACGGGAGGCAGCAGUGGGGAAUAUUGAACAAUGGGCGAAAGCCUGAUGCAGCAACGCCGCGUGAGGGAUGACGGCCUUCGGGUUGUAAACCUCUUUUAGCAGGGAAGAAGCGAAAGUGACGGUACCUGCAGAAAAAGCACCGGCUAACUACGUGCCAGCCGCCGCAUAA